ACGGCUAGCAAUAUUGUGUUCCAUGAAUUGAGGCGUAUAGAACUAAUCGGACUUCCAAGAUUCAACAUGUUUUGCCCUCAUAAUUAUGAAGUUGUGUUCCCUUCACUUGAUCUAUUGAGAAUUGAAGAUUGCCCUAUGAUGACAAAAUUUUGUUCAGGACAGCUAAAUGCACCGAAGCUUAAGGAAGUACAGAUAGGAGACCACGAAUUUAUUGACAUUUCCAAUUGCUUCAAUUAGUGAUAUAGCAUCUGUACACACUCCAUGAGGAGAAAUUGUGAAGAAGAGAUGAAACAGCGAGAAGAAGAGGGAAGACACAAUGGGGUGAGUUUUCAAUCCCUGGCAUAUGGCGACAAUAGAUUAUAAUUAUGAAGAAUGAAGUGUAAAGUCUAGUCGAUGAUUUUACUCAUUUACCCCUCCUCCGACGUAUGAACUAUUUUUAUUUUCAUUUUCAAUAUGUUACAUUUAUUGGUUAAAUUGUUUAGUGUUUUGAAAUGAUUCAAAUGAGUAAUUCUUGGUAGAUCUAGUUA